CCUACGGGAGGCAGCAGUGGGGAAUAUUGGACAAUGGGGGGAACCCUGAUCCAGCCAUGCCGCGUGUGUGAAGAAGGCCCUCGGGUUGUAAAGUACUUUCAGUGAGGAAGAACGCCUGGUGGUUAAUACCCAUCAGGAAAGACAUCACUCACAGAAGAAGCACCGGCUAACUCCGUGCCAGCAGCCGCGGUAAUACGGAGGGUGCGAGCGUUAAUCGGAAUUACUGGGCGUAAAGCGCGCGUAGGUGGCUUGAUAAGCCGGUUGUGAAAGCCCCGGGCUCAACCUGGGAACGGCAUCCGGAACUGUCAAGCUAGAGUGCAGGAGAGGAAGGUAGAAUUCCCGGUGUAGCGGUGAAAUGCGUAGAGAUCGGGAGGAAUACCAGUGGCGAAGGCGGCCUUCUGGACUGACACUGACACUGAGGUGCGAAAGCGUGGGUAGCAAACAGGAUUAGAUACCCUGGUAGUC
rnacentral:rRNA from 1 species